rnacentral:rRNA from 1 species
ACGCUCGACACCUACGGGAGCAGCAGUGAGGAAUAUUGGUCAAUGGGCGCAGGCCUGAACCAGCCAAGUAGCGUGAAGGAUGACUGCCCUAUGGGUUGUAAACUUCUUUUAUAUGGGAAUAAAGUUUUCCACGUGUGGAAUUUUGUAUGUACCAUAUGAAUAAGGAUCGGCUAACUCCGUGUCCAGCAGCCGCGGUAAUCUGAGCGGGCUGGCAAGGC